UACGGGGGGGGCAAGCGUUGUUCGGAAUUACUGGGCGUAAAGGGUUUGUAGGUGGCCUGCUAAGUCAGACGUGAAAUCCCUCAGCUUAACUGGGGAACUGCGUCUGAGACUGGUAGGCUCGAGGACAGGAGAGGAACGCGGAAUUCCAGGUGUAGCGGUGAAAUGCGUAGAUAUCUGGAGGAACACCCGUGGCGAAGGCGGCUCUCUGGGACGGUACUGACGCUGAGACGCGAAAGCGUGGGGAGCGAACAGG
rnacentral:rRNA from 1 species